UACGUAGGUGACAAGCGUUGUCCGGAUUUACUGGGCGUAAAGAGCUCGCAGGCGGUCGUUCAAGUCGAGUGUGAAAGCCCCCGGCUCAACUGGGGAGGGUCACUCGAUACUGAUCGACUCGAAGGCAGGAGAGGGUAGUGGAAUUCCCGGUGUAGUGGUGAAAUGCGUAGAUAUCGGGAGGAACACCAGUGGCGAAGGCGACUACCUGGCCUGUUCUUGACGCUGAGGCGCGAAAGCUAGGGGAGCAAACGGG
rnacentral:rRNA from 1 species